rnacentral:rRNA from 1 species
AGGGUACCACCAGGAGUGGAGCCUGCGGCUUAAUUUGACUCAACACGGGGAAACUUACCCGGCCUGGACACUGGAAGGAUUGACAGAUUGAGAGCUCUUUCUUGAUUCAGUGGGUGGUGGUGCAUGGCCGUUCUUAGUUGGUGGAGCGAUUUGUCUGGUUAAUUCCGAUAACGAACGAGACUCUAGCCUAUUAAAUAGGCUCUCGGCUUUUAAACGCCGGGAGGACUUCUUAGAGGGACAGGUGGCGGUUCAGCCGCACGAAAGAGAGCAAUAACAGGUCUGUGAUGCCCUUUGUUGUCCGGGGCCGCACGCGCGCUACACUGAAGAGAUCAGCGUGCUUUACGUUCCUGCUCCGACCGGAGUGGGGAACCCAGUGAACCUUCUUCGUGAUUGGGAUAGAAGAUUGUAAUUAUUCUUCUUGAACGAGGAAUUCCCAGUAAAUGCGAGUCAUAAGCUCGCGUUGAUUACGUCCCUGCCCUUUGUACACGCCGCCCGUCGCUACUACCGAUUGAACGAUUU